GUCUACAGCCAUGCCACCCUGAACAAGCCCGAUCCUGUCUGAUCUCGGAAGCUAAGCAGGGUCGGGCCUGGUUAGUACUUGGAUGGGAGACCACCUAGGAAGACCAGGUGCUGUAGGCG
rnacentral:rRNA from 1 species